UUCCGUGAAGCACGAGUUCUGUUCCUGUCUUCGGCAAAAGAAUCAAGUACACUGCCUGGCACAUGGAAUGGAGCUCUGCUUUCACCUGGCUGCCUGAGGGGUAGGGGGCAACCCCUGGUACCUAUGGCUCUGCAACACCAAGAAGAGGGCCCUCAGGUCUCUCUAACCUUCAUGUAGAGAUAGACCAGCUAGAUUCCUUGCUUGACACAGCGUGCGCGCACUUGCACAUGAGCAAAGAAGAGGAAGGGGAGAGUACUUGCUCUAGAGAAAACCAAUUGCCAUGGGGAAGGACACCCAGCCAGUUAUGGAGAGGUCCAUGGGUGAGAAACUGAGGCCUCCUGCCAGCAACCGGCAUCAGUGUGCCAACUGUGUGAGAACCGUCCCAAAAGAUCUUCAGAGGAAGGUAGCCCUGGCUGAG